GACAGUUGUUGGGAUUUACCUUAUUGAUCAUGUUGGACGAAAGAAAUUGGCCCUCUCAAGUUUAUCUGGAGUAAUUGUUUCACUUGUGAUUCUUGCUGCAGCAUUCAUAUUCAAGACAUCUGAUUUUCUUGGUGGACUUAAUGGGUGGCUUGCAGUGGUAGGGUUGGCCCUAUACAUUGCAUUCUUUUCACCUGGAAUGGGACCUGUGCCAUGGACCGUGAACUCAGAGAUAUAUCCAGAGAAAUACCGAG
rnacentral:lncRNA from 1 species